GAUGAACGCUAGCUACAGGCUUAACACAUGCAAGUCGAGGGGUAACAAGAGAAAAGCUUGCUUUUCUUGUUGACGACCGGCGCACGGGUGAGUAACGCGUAUCCAACCUGCCUAUAACUAGGGAAUAACCUUGCGAAAGUAAGACUAAUACCCUAUGAUUUCCUUUGAUGACAUCAGAUUAGGAAUAAAGAUUUAUCGGUUAUAGAUUGGGAUGUCGUCUGAUUAGCUUGUUGGCGGGGUAACGGCCCACCAAGGCAACGAUCAGUAGGGGUUUGGAGCGGAAGGGCCGCCAAAUUGGAACUGAGACACGGUCCAAACUCAUAAGGGAGGCAGCAGUGAGGAAUAUUGGUCAAUGGGCGGAAGCCUGAACCAGCCAAGUAGCGUGCAGGAUGACGGCCCUAUGGGUUGUAAACUGCUUUUAUACAGGAAUAAAGUUAGCCACGUGUGGUUAUUUGUAGGUACUGUAUGAAUAAGGACCGGCUAAUUCCGUGCCAGCAGCCGCAGUAA
rnacentral:rRNA from 1 species